AGGAAAUCGAUUUAAUAAGAGAGGAUGCUUGUGAGGGAUACAGGCGGGCAGGCAAGGGGGUUCUGGCCCGAGGAUCAGGUGGGCUACAGUUUUAUGAUCCAAGGAAAGUGGGCAGGGGGAGUCCACCUUCCUCACUCUUCAGGUAGAAGGUAGAAUUCAGGCUUACAUCACCAGCUCCUUCUUCAUAUUGGGUAAGAGAAUACUUGACCUGUGAGGUCCAAUGAGGAUGGUCACAGUGCUUAUUCCAAUCAGUGGAAGGGCGGUAACAUGUGCUAAGUUAUGUUGAAUCAUCUCAGGUUUCUGUAUGAUGAGGGGCUCUUACUUUGGAAUGUCCUCUUUUCUUUCCAAAUGCAGAUCUCUCCGUUUUUUUGUUUGUUUGUUUGUUUGUUUGUUUGCAGGACCACACCUGUGGCAUAUGGAGGUUCCCAGGCUAGGGGUCCAAUCGGAGCAGUAGCCACCAGCCUUUGCCACAGGCAUGGCAAUGCAGGAUCCACGCUGUGUCUGCGACCUCCACCACAGCUCACGGCAACGCCAGAUCCUUAACCCACUGAGCGAGGCCAGGGAUCGAACCCGCCACCUCAUGGUUCCUAGUCAGAUUCAUCUCUGCUGCGCCACGACGGGAACUCCCUCAGUUUAUCUUUCAUCAGUGACCUGAGGUAAACCAUACCCUGGGUUUAUGGUUAAGCAUGCCUGCAAUCAUUAACUUGCUGUGAUCUCCCAAAGUUCCCUAGCUUUCCCUUUCUAUCUGGGGUCCCCCGCUGGCACAUCGGCCACUACCUGUGUAACUAGCCUACUCNNNNNNNNNNNNNNNNNNNNNNNNNNNNNNNNCAUUUCAAAGGAAACUGCCAGCUCCUUGACACUUGCCCCGUACUUAAGCAUGCAUAUCAUCAAAUGGAGUACUUUUAUUUUCUGAGGAAAAACGUGCAUUGAGAUGCGUAAUUCUUAGAAGGUCGCCUCAUGGCCCAGCAGGUUAAGAACCCGACUAGAAUCCACGAGGUCGCAGGUCCAAUCUAUGGCCUUGAUGAGUGGGUCAAGGAUCCAGCACUGCCACGAGCUGUAGUGUAGGUCGCAGACGAGGUUCGGAUUCUGCGUUGCUGUGGCUGUGACCUCGGCUGGCAGCUGUAGCUUUGAUUCUUCCCUGAGUCUGGGAACUUCCACAGGCCACAGGUGUGGCCCUAAAAAGCAAAAAGAAAGAACAAGAUGCUCAGGUCUGAACUGUGUCACAAAUGCAGGUGGAACCCAAGCCCAUUUCAAGGUACCGUCAUGCCAGAAAGUCCCCUCAGCCCUUCCCGGUCAGUCCCAUCCCCACCCUCCCACACGGAGUCACUGUUCUGACUGUCACCCCCAUUGAUGAGUUUUGUUGGUUUUUUGAACCUUAUCUGAGUGGACUCACAACCACUUUGUGCAACUGGUGUCUCACCCAGUUUAAGUCCCCAGGGCGCACAUGCAGAGCUCCUGAGCCACAACCUACCCUUGUCUUUUGUUCAGGGAGGCUGGUUCGGUCAGGAGGCCUUCCUGGAGGAGGCAGCAUUGCUGCCUCUCUCUGGUUUCCUUCCCACCUCUCCAGGCUGCCCCUUCUCAGCCUCUUUGUGGGCCCAUUUCCCCCCCCUUGCCCCUUCUCUGCCAGGGCUGCUCAGCGUCUGGCUAGACCAGAGCUUCCAAAUGAGCCAGCUUCAACCCACAGACGGGUUUUAUUUGGCCCACAUGGAAUUUUUCUCUUUGUAUUUGAAUUAGCUUUAACAUUUAAACGCCGAAGAGUUUUGCUUUUAAAAAUAUCCAUAUUUGUCAUCUCUUGGAAACUUGGAACAUCUGGCCAUGGUGUGUCCCUCUCCACCAGGACCAGAAUUGGCUGAAACAGAGGUGCAGCCACCUGUGCCCAGAGCCCCACGCCCACCCCCGGGUGUCGUUCUCUUACACCCAAGCACUUAAUUAACCCCUAUAGCACCUGAGAUGGUACCAGAAUGGUGUUCAGCCAAGAAUCCCAGAAGGGCUCCAGGACCACCUUGGAAUAGCCAUGUUUUUUCCCCAGGAGAAGCAGAGCCCAAGAACAAUGUCAGGAAAAGGUCACGGAAAGCAGUGCUCUGUCCGACAGCAUCUCGGGUCUCCUGUUACCAGGAGGGAUGCCUUGGGCUCCAUCCGCAGCAGCUAAAGCCCUUCUCUAAAGAGGUAGCGUGCAAGCUUUCUGACCCAAACCAUAGGGUGAGAGAGACGGGAAUGGAGGUGGGGGGGGGAGAGGAAGGGGGAGGAGGGAGGGAUGGGGGGAGAUCUGGUUGAUUCGAACCUUUUUCUGAGUGGAACGGAAGGGAGUGUGCAUGUGUGCGUGCGCCGGCGCACUGGAGGCAGCUCAGAAGUAGACCGUUGAGCUCCCCCUGGAAGCAGUAUAAUCUCCUCCUACUUAGUAGGAGUUGCCCUUUUCUAACACCCAUACAGGUAUUCUCCAGAAUUCAAAAAUCAGUGUUUUUCAGAUGGCAAGUCCAGAUCCAUGAGCCCAAUCAUGAAAAAUGUAUGGGGUCCUGAUCAGAUUUUGAUUUAUUAGCUAGAAGAAAUGCACAAUGGAAAACAUCAGACAACACUGCACUCAGGGAAGGUCAGCUUUUGUCUCACGAAUCUUUUUACUUUGGGUGUGUUUGCGCCAGAUCAUGUAAUAUGCACUUCUCACUGAGGGUUGCGGUCCUACAGUUGGAAACCCAUCACCUGCAGAUGUGAUCUGUGUGGAGUUGUCCUGAGGAUGGAUGGUGGAAGGCAUAAAGCCAGGACUGAGAGGGUUUGACUUGAAACCAUAGGCAAUAGGGAGCCAUUGAGUACUCUUGAGUGGUAGAGUCACCGUGAGGACCUCAGACCGUCCCCCACCCACAUAUACACGCAUCCAACCACACACAUGGCAUUUGGAAUUUUCCUCCUUGGCAAGUUGUGUGGUUCAACAACCACUGACUGUGGACAUGAUGCAGAAUAUUAUCCAACCUAGGGCUUUUAGGACAGACUAAUCCCACUGCCUUUCCCCUCACUUUACAGAUUGGGAAACAGACUUCAAGAUGGGAAACCACUUACCUGGGGUUACCUAGCAAGACUCAUGGCUGCUCAUCUCAGGAUCUUCCUUAUCUCCUGAUGUCCCAUGUCCAUCUGGUUGAGGAUGGUGGAAGAUACGACUCAGCCAGAACGGGAUC
ensembl:lncRNA